ACAUGCAUACAACAUAGAGCUAAUGCACUGGAUCCCAUUAGAACUUCACAUUUAAGUGCGCUUAGGCUAGAGUAGUACUGGGAUGGCUGACCACCCGAGAAUUCGUAGUUCUUUACAUGCU
rnacentral:rRNA from 1 species